UACAGAGACUGCAAGCGUUAUUCGGAUUCACUGGGCGUAAAGGGUGCGCAGGCGGCCAAGUGUGUGAGGCGUGAAAGCCUGGAGCUUAACUCCAGAAUUGCACCUCAAACUACAUGGCUAGAGCAUUGGAGAGGGUAGCAGAAUUCCCGGUGUAGCGGUGAAAUGUGUAGAGAUCGGGAGGAACACCGGUGGCGAAGGCGGGUCUCUGGGCAAUUCCUGACGCUGAGGCGCGAAAGCGUGGGGAGCAAACGGG
rnacentral:rRNA from 1 species